GUACCGUGAGGGAAAGGCGAAAAGAACCCCGGCGAGGGGAGUGAAAAAGAACCUGAAACCGUGUACGUACAAGCAGUGGGAGCACCCUUCGGGGUGUGACUGCGUACCUUUUGUAUAAUGGGUCAGCGACUUAUAUUCUGUAGCAAGGUUAACCGUAUAGGGGAGCCGGAGGGAAACCGAGUCUUAACCGGGCGUUAAGUUGCAGGGUAUAGACCCGAAACCCGGUGAUCUAGCCAUGGGCAGGUUGAAGGUUGGGUAACACUAACUGGAGGACCGAACCGACUAAUGUUGAAAAAUUAGCGGAUGACCUGUGGCUGGGGGUGAAAGGCCAAUCAAACCGGGAGAUAGCUGGUUCUCCCCGAAAGCUAUUUAGGUAGCGCCUCGUGAAUUCAUCUCCGGGGGUAGAGCACUGUUUCGGCUAGGGGGCCAUCCCGGCUUACCAACCCGAUGCAAACUGCGAAUACCGGAGAAUGUUAUCACGGGAGACACACGGCGGGUGCUAACGUCCGUCGUGAAGAGGGAAACAACCCAGACCGCCAGCUAAGGUCCCAAAGUCAUGGUUAAGUGGGAAACGAUGUGGGAAGGCCCAGACAGCCAGGAUGUUGGCUUAGAAGCAGCCAUCAUUUAAAGAAAGCGUAAUAGCUCACUGGUCGAGUCGGCCUGCGCGGAAGAUGUAACGGGGCUAAACCAUGCACCGAAGCUGCGGCAGCGAACGUAUCACCCAAGACAACUUUACGGAGUUGACGAUUGACGGAGCGAAGCGACGUCAAAGCGUUCAUUAAAGUCGAGUUGGCUUAGGGAUACGUUCGUUGGGUAGGGGAGCGUUCUGUAAGCCUGUGAAGGUGUGUCGUGAGGCAUGCUGGAGGUAUCAGAAGUGCGAAUGCUGACAUAAGUAACGAUAAAGCGGGUGAAAAGCCCGCUCGCCGGAAGACCAAGGGUUCCUGUCCAACGUUAAUCGGGGCAGGGUGAGUCGACCCCUAAGGCGAGGCCGAAAGGCGUAGUCGAUGGGAAACGGGUUAAUAUUCCCGUACUUGGUGUUACUGCGAAGGGGGGACGGAGAAGGCUAUGUUGGCCGGGCGACGGUUGUCCCGGUUUAAGCGUGUAGGUGUGUGUUCCAGGUAAAUCCGGUUCACUUUAACACUGAGGCGUGACGACGAGGCACUACGGUGCUGAAGCAACAAAUGCCCUGCUUCCAGGAAAAGCCUCUAAGCAUCAGGUAACACGAAAUCGUACCCCAAACCGACACAGGUGGUCAGGUAGAGAAUACCAAGGCGCUUGAGAGAACUCGGGUGAAGGAACUAGGCAAAAUGGUGCCGUAACUUCGGGAGAAGGCACGCUGACACGUAGGUGAAGUGAUUUACUCAUGGAGCUGAAGUCAGUCGAAGAUACCAGCUGGCUGCAACUGUUUAUUAAAAACACAGCACUGUGCAAACACGAAAGUGGACGUAUACGGUGUGACGCCUGCCCGGUGCCGGAAGGUUAAUUGAUGGGGUCAGCGCAAGCGAAGCUCCUGAUCGAAGCCCCGGUAAACGGCGGCCGUAACUAUAACGGUCCUAAGGUAGCGAAAUUCCUUGUCGGGUAAGUUCCGACCUGCACGAAUGGCGUAAUGAUGGCCAGGCUGUCUCCACCCGAGACUCAGUGAAAUUGAACUCGCUGUGAAGAUGCAGUGUACCCGCGGCAAGACGGAAAGACCCCGUGAACCUUUACUAUAGCUUGACACUGAACAUUGAGCCUUGAUGUGUAGGAUAGGUGGGAGGCUUUGAAGUGUGGACGCCAGUCUGCAUGGAGCCGACCUUGAAAUACCACCCUUUAAUGUUUGAUGUUCUAACGUGGACCCGUAAUCCGGGUUGCGGACAGUGUCUGGUGGGUAGUUUGACUGGGGCGGUCUCCUCCUAAAGAGUAACGGAGGAGCACGAAGGUUGGCUAAUCCUGGUCGGACAUCAGGAGGUUAGUGCAAUGGCAUAAGCCAGCUUGACUGCGAGCGUGACGGCGCGAGCAGGUGCGAAAGCAGGUCAUAGUGAUCCGGUGGUUCUGAAUGGAAGGGCCAUCGCUCAACGGAUAAAAGGUACUCCGGGGAUAACAGGCUGAUACCGCCCAAGAGUUCAUAUCGACGGCGGUGUUUGGCACCUCGAUGUCGGCUCAUCACAUCCUGGGGCUGAAGUAGGUCCCAAGGGUAUGGCUGUUCGCCAUUUAAAGUGGUACGCGAGCUGGGUUUAGAACGUCGUGAGACAGUUCGGUCCCUAUCUGCCGUGGGCGCUGGAGAACUGAGGGGGGCUGCUCCUAGUACGAGAGGACCGGAGUGGACGCAUCACUGGUGUUCGGGUUGUCAUGCCAAUGGCACUGCCCGGUAGCUAAAUGCGGAAGAGAUAAGUGCUGAAAGCAUCUAAGCACGAAACUUGCCCCGA
rnacentral:rRNA from 1 species